CACGGUUUCCGCGCCGCAGCUAACGCAUUAAGUGCCCCGCCUGGGGAGUACGGCCGCAAGGCUAAAACUCAAAGGAAUUGACGGGGGCCCGCACAAGCGGCGGAGCAUGCGGAUUAAUUCGAUGCAACGCGAAGAACCUUACCAAGGCUUGACAUGUUCUCGAUCGCCGUAGAGAUACGGUUUCCCCUUUGGGGCGGGUUCACAGGUGGUGCAUGGUUGUCGUCAGCUCGUGUCGUGAGAUGUUGGGUUAAGUCCCGCAACGAGCGCAACCCUCGUUCCAUGUUGCCAGCACGUAGUGGUGGGGACUCAUGGGAGACUGCCGGGGUCAACUCGGAGGAAGGUGAGGACGACGUCAAAUCAUCAUGCCCCUUAUGUCUUGGGCUUCACGCAUGCUACAAUGGCCGGUACAAUGGGUUGCGAUACUGUGAGGUGGAGCUAAUCCCAAAAAGCCGGUCUCAGUUCGGAUUGGGGUCUGCAACUCGACCCCAUGAAGUGGGAGUCGCUAGUAAUCGCAGAUCAGCAACGCUGCGGUGAAUACGUUCCCGGGCCUUGUACACACCGCCCGUCAAGUCACGAAAGUUGGUAACACCCGAAGCCGGUGGCCUAACCCUUGUGGGGGGAGCCGUCGAAGGUGGGACCAGCGAUUGGG
rnacentral:rRNA from 1 species